rnacentral:rRNA from 1 species
UACGGGGGGGGCAAGCGUUGUUCGGAAUUACUGGGCGUAAAGGGCUCGUAGGCGGCCAACUAAGUCAGACGUGAAAUCCCUCGGCUUAACCGGGGAACUGCAUCUGAUACUGGAUGGCUUGAGUUCUGGAGAGGGUCGUGGAAUUCCCGGUGUAGCGGUGAAAUGCGUAGAGAUCGGGAGGAACACCAGAGGCGAAGGCGGCGACCUGGACAGUUCCUGACGCUGAGGCACGAAGGCCAGGGGAGCAAACGGG